GACGAACGCUGGCGGCGUGCUUAACACAUGCAAGUCGAACGGAAAGGCCCUGCUUUUGCGGGGUGCUCGUGUGGCGAACGCGUGAGUAACACGCGAGUAACCUGCCCUUGACUUUGGGAUAACUUCAGGAAACUGGGGCUAAUACCGGAUAGGAGCUCCUGCUGCAUGGUGGGGGUUGGAAAGUUUCGGCGGUUGGGGAUGGACUCGCGGCUUAUCAGCUUGUUGGUGGGGUAGUGGCUUACCAAGGCUUCGACGGGUAGCCGGCCUGGGAGGGUGACCGGCCACAUUGGGACUGAGGGACGGACCAGACGCGUACGGGAGGCAACGGUGGGGAGUAUUGCACAGUGGGCGGAAGCCAGAGGCGACAGCGCCGGGUUCGUGAUGACGGCCUUCGGGUUAUAAACCGCUUUCGCCUGAGACGAAGCGUGAGUGACGGUAAUGGGUAAAGAAGCACCGGCUAACUACGUG
rnacentral:rRNA from 1 species